UACGUAGGUGGCAAGCGUUGUCCGGAUUUAUUGGGUUUAAAGGGUGCGUAGGCGGCUUUUUAAGUCAGUGGUGAAAGCCGAUCGCUUAACGAUCGAACUGCCAUUGAUACUGAGUGGCUUGAGUAUAGUUGGGGUAGGCGGAAUUGACAGUGUAGCGGUGAAAUGCAUAGAUAUUGUCAAGAACACCGAGUGCGAAGGCAGCUUACUAAACUAUAACUGACGCUGAGGCACGAAAGCGUGGGUAUCAAACAGG
rnacentral:rRNA from 1 species